UACGUAGGGUGCGAGCGUUGUCCGGAAUUAUUGGGCGUAAAGAGCUUGUAGGCGGUUUGUCGCGUCUGCUGUGAAAAUCCGGGGCUCAACCCCGGACUUGCAGUGGGUACGGGCAGACUAGAGUGUGGUAGGGGAGACUGGAAUUCCUGGUGUAGCGGUGAAAUGCGCAGAUAUCAGGAGGAACACCGGUGGCGAAGGCGGGUCUCUGGGACGGGUACUGGACGCUGAGACGCGAAAGCGUGGGGAGCGAACAGG
rnacentral:rRNA from 1 species